GGAGUUCUUCUGCAGAGACUAAAGGGUUUGAAACACAAUGUGAAUACAUAAACCCCACAAGGCAAAGGCUUUUUCUGAAGGGAAAGCUAGAUUUGGGCUUUGGAUUUUUGCAGCAUGAAGUUCCUCCCUCACUAAUGCUGCGUCAGCAGGAAAAUCCACCAGAGACUCUAGGCCAGUGACUGUAUUGAUGUGAAUAUAAAAUUACCAUGAAUAUAACAAAGUUUUUGUAUUCUGGGAAAAUUCUAGGAGUUUGGAGAAAGAAUCUCUAUUAACUUGCAGAUCUCAGGCAAUUCCAGACACAUAGAAGGCACUGAGCACUCUCUGAAUGUAAUGCAAGUUGACUAACUGUAUACAUUCAUACACGAGAGCCCUCAAAAGUGACGAAAAAAGCAAGAACCCAAGACUAUUUGGGAGUUGUUUUCUUGUGAAAUGGAUUAGCAAGCAUUGCAUCAUGAAAGCAUCCAGCACACCCAUGAGCUAUAUGUGUGGAAAACUCCAGGAAUACAAGAUGUGAGAAAUCAGCUGGGGGCGUCUUUUACAAUGGCCAUUGACUGUGAACAUAAGGAGCGCUAACAUUCGCUUCAUGAUUUAGAAAGUGACACAAUUCCUUAUUCAGAAUGACACAGGAGUGUCCCAGGAGGCCCAAGGCCAAUGGCAGCAGAUGAAAAGGUCUUCUCUGUGGUACCGGACUCUCUCUUCACCAACUCAUCUUAUAACGGCACAAGAUAAGCUCUGACAGUUGGAUGAGGCCACUCCACCCUGUCUGCCUAGAGGUUGUGAGAAAGUAAAGAAAUGCAAUUAAAACUAAGACGCUUGAUAAAGCAACAGAAAAUUGGUCCCCAGUCAACUCUGGAAGCAUCAGCCCUUUGACAGCUGGUGUGUUAACAAAACAGAUUAUUUGUAUCUUUUUAUUUCUACAAAUUAUUGUUAACUAAGGCCUCAGCUCAUUUGUUUCCAUGUUGCUGAGAAAGUGACUUGUAUAGCCAAAAUAGACACAAAACUGGAUUGACAGUUUCACAGUUCAUCUUCCUUGAGUGAAAUGUUUGUAACUCUAAAUCUUAGAGUUUAGAGUCAAAGCCUGUAGUGCCUUAUCUUAGUUACAGCUGUGUAUGUAUGCACGCGUG